rnacentral:rRNA from 1 species
ACGAACGCUGGCGGCGUGCUUAACCCAUGCCAGUCGAGCGGUAAGGCUCCUUCGGGAGUACACGAGCGGCGAACGGGUGAGUAACACGUGAGUAAUCUGCCCUUCACUUCGGGAUAACCACCGGAAACGGUGGCUAAUACCGAAUACGACCAGUCUUCGCAUGAGGUGCUGGUGGAAAGUCUUUUCGGUGAAGGAUGUGCUCGCGGCCUAUCAGCUUGUUGGUGGGGUAAUGGCCUACCAAGGCUUCGACGGGUAGCCGGCCUGAGAGGGUGACCGGCCACACUGGGACUGAGACACGGCCCAGACUCCUACGGGAGGCAGCAGUGGGGAAUAUUGGACAAUGGGCGAAAGCCUGAUCCAGCAACGCCGCGUGAGGGAUGACGGCCUUCGGGUUGUAAACCUCUUUCAGUACCGACGAAGCGCCCUGUCGGGUGGUGACGGUAGGUACAGAAGAAGGACCGGCCAACUACGUG